GAUGAACGCUAGCGGCAGGCCUAACACAUGCAAGUCGAGGGGUAGCAGGAUUAAGCUUGCUUAAUUGCUGACGACCGGCGCACGGGUGCGUAACGCGUAUGCAACCUACCUUAUACUGGGGUAUAGCCCGGAGAAAUUCGGAUUAAUCCCCCAUAGUACUAAUGAAUCGCAUGGUUUAUUAGUUAAAGCAUUGCGGUAUAAGAUGGGCAUGCGUCCUAUUAGCUAGAUGGUGAGGUAACGGCUCACCAUGGCUACGAUAGGUAGGGGGCCUGAGAGGGGGGUCCCCCCCACUGGAACUGAGACACGGACCAGACUCCUACGGGAGGCAGCAGUGAGGAAUAUUGGUCAAUGGGCGCAAGCCUGAACCAGCCAUGCCGCGUGCAGGAAGAAUGCCCUAUGGGUUGUAAACUGCUUUUAUUUGGGAAUAAACCUCUUUACGUGUAGAGAGCUGAAGGUACCAAAUGAAUAAGCACCGGCUAACUCCGUGCCAGCCGCCGCGGUAA
rnacentral:rRNA from 1 species